GACGAACGCUGGCGGCGUGCUUAACACAUGCAAGUGGCGCGACGAACCGGGCUUCGGCCCGGGGCAAAGCCGCGAACGGGUGAGUAACACGUGGGUAACCUGCCCCGAAGACCGGGACAACCCGGGGAAACCCGGGCUAAUACCGGAUGUGCUCACCACUCUCAAGGGUGGUGAACAAAGGAAGCUUCGGCCUCCGCUUCGGGAGGGGCCCGCGGCCCAUUAGCUUGUUGGUGAGGUAACGGCUCACCAAGGCGACGAUGGGUAGCUGGUCUGAGAGGACGAUCAGCCACACUGGGACUGAGACACGGCCCAGACUCCUACGGGAGGCAGCAGUGGGGAAUCUUGCGCAAUGGGCGACAGCCUGACGCAGCAACGCCGCGUGGGGGAAGACGGCCUUCGGGUUGUAAACCCCUUUCAGGAGGGACGAAGCUUCGGCAGCGAAUAGCUGUCCGGAGUGACGGUACCUCACUAAGAAGCCCCGGCUAACUACGUGCCAGCAGCCGCGGUAAAAC
rnacentral:rRNA from 1 species